rnacentral:rRNA from 1 species
CCUACGGGAGGCUGCAGUGGGGAAUAUUGGACAAUGGGGGGAACCCUGAUCCAGCGACGCCGCGUGAGUGAAGAAGUAUUUCGGUAUGUAAAGCUCUAUCAGCAGGGAAGAAAGAAAUGACGGUAUCUGACUAAGAAGCCCCGGCUAACUACGUGCCAGCAGCCGCGGUAAUACGUAGGGGGCAAGCGUUAUCCGGAUUUACUGGGUGUAAAGGGUGCGUAGACGGCGAUGCAAGUCUGAAGUGAAAGGCGGGGGCCCAACCCCUGAACUGCUUUGGAGACUGUAUGGCUGGAGUGCAGGUGAGGUAGGUGGAAUGCCUGGUGUAGCGGUGAAAUGCGUAGAUAUUAGAAGGAACACCAGUGGCGAAGGCAGCUUACUGAACUGUAACUGACGUUGAGGCUCGAAAGCGUGGGGAGCAAACAGGAUUAGAUACCCGAGUAGUC